CAGAGCCGCCGAGGCGCAGCCCGCCUCUGCGCACCCGGGGCCCACGUGACGGUGAUUCACCAGGCGCCGCCUCCUGAGCCCCGGGCGGGGAAGCGACGGGGCAGUUGUCUGAACCCCUACAGUGGGCACAAUGGGUUGAGAACAGAAUUGCCUGUGGAUCAAUCCACCACCAGGCACACGUUGUCUUCUGACCAUUUUACUCCAUCUACACCAAGAAGUUCUUACUGGCACCUCUUCAUGUGCUGCUCACUUGGCAUCCAUUGGUGCUCCACAUUUUGGACACGGAACCAUCGCUCUCACCUGGACCCUUUGAGGGGGACUAGGUUCCACGCAAGCACGUUGGAGAGGACGCACUUUCCCUUGCUGCCAUGUUUUACCCUAGCCCCUCAUUACUGUGCUCGGGAAAUUAUUCCUUUUUCCACCCCUAAUUAGGCCUCUGGGUACUUUAUGAUUGCAGGAUUUCCUUCUUUUCUAUGGCUGUAGAGAGCCUAGCUUUUAAAGACUGUGUUUAUCACACAACAUGGCCCUUAAAUGGAAGCCUGCUUCAUCUGAUGUGCAACUGAAGAAUUGAAAUGCCUUUCGGUGCCAGAGGAAACACCAGCUCUAUGCAGGAUUUACUGAGAGAGGGUUUGUAAGCCACCCGACUGGCACUGCUCCAACGGGUCUUCAAGGGACAUUUGGAUUGUGUGCAAUUCCAGCCCUUACACACUGACUUGAGAACCCUCUGCUCCUUGUUCAGUUUCCUGCUUUUAACAGAGUUAACAGGGGCGCCUGGGUGGCUCAGGUGAUUAAGCGUCUGACUUGUUAAACACUUAGGUGGUGAUUUCCCAGUCAUGAGACUGGGCUCAUGCUGAGGGUCCGGCCUGCUUGGGAGUCUCUCCCUGACCGCCCCCCCCCCCCCACUUGUGUGUGCAUGCACAGGUGCUCUCUCAGAAUAAAUAAACAUGUUUUAAAAAGUUAACAGAAUAUCUUGUUUGUUCUACACCAGCACAUAGAAACCUAAUUUAUUCUUUUAAAUAGCUACAGUGUAUUCCAUUGCAGGAAGGCACUAGAAUUUGUUCAAAAUCAGUUCUCUAUUGGAGGAUAUUUUGACUGUGUUCAGACUUUUGCUACUACUAUUAUAAUGCUGCAAGGAGGGAUGUGUCUUUUUAUAAUAAUACCUUUUGGGGAUCUUGAAUGACCAAGUCAUUAUAGGAGAACAAAUAGAAUAUUUUUGCUGUAUUUUUUUGGAAAAUAGGGGCUUUAUUUUCUUUUCUGGCUACUUUUGUAUUGAUACUAUUUUGGUACUAAUUCCUAUGAUUUCAACUUUUCAAAAUUAAGCUUAAAAAUAUCAAUUACACCUGAAAAAUAUCCCAGUUAGCAUAAUUUUAAAAUCCACUUAAUGGCAUUUGGAUCCCAAAAGACAAGUUACCAAAUAUCUUUAGUAGUUAGUGUUUAUUCAACAAAUAUUUCUUGAGUGCCUCUGUGUACCAGGGGCAAUAUUAAGGGUUUUAAUAGAUUUUAUGCCUCUUAGUAUCAUUGAAAUUCUGCUGAAAUUCAAGACUAAGAACUAUGUAUAAGAUAAUUGCUCAUUUGUUCCAUUAAAUCUAUAACAAGACAUUUGUAUAGUGGUAAGGUGGACAGGAGGGGAAAAGUAAUAUAUUUGUAUUAAAAAUUGUAUUUUAAUGUAUUUCCUAGAUAGCACUUAUAGAAACAGUGCUUUUCUUUCUUUUUCUUUUUUCUUUUCUUAAAAUGACUAUUCUGAAUGCUAUGGCUUAAUGUGAAAUGGUUUUGAAAGACUUGACUGUUCUAGAUUCUAGAAUGAAAUCUUCAAAAUAUAGCACAUUAUAAGCUAUUUUCUAUUACAGAGGUAUAAGUAAUCUCUGAACUAAGAUUGUAAACCUGCUAUACAUAAAUGGAUUCCAGAUAAUUAAAUGCAGUUGAUAAUGCUUCCCUUAGUUUGAUAGAACAGAAAAUUAUUACAAUCUUUAUUUAUCCAAUUAACAUCUAAAUAUUAUAAUUAUUUUAUUUUUUACAUUUUACGUGCAUUAUACACGCAUAUGAUAUAAAAUUUUUAAAUGGUGCAAAAGGCAUAUACAGAGCCAACCAGUGUUGCCAAUUUCUUCUGAGAUGUUCCAUGCAGAUACAGGCAAUUAUAUAGACUUACAUUUCCACCUUCUGUCCUUCCCUCCCUCUCUUCUCUCUUUAGUAAUUGGUAUGAUCAGUCCUUCCUAAUUCUUUUUAUUUGUCCCUAAAUACUUUCUCCUGGCUCUUAUUGCUCAUUUAGUUUUAUGAUAGAACCUUAAAAUCAACUUGUCUAGAAUGAGAAAAAAAUCCUACUAAUAAUUUUAGAAGUGGGAUGCACAAUAUUUAUAAGUUAGCUUUGAAAUAAUUGACAUCUUACAAGAUUCCGAGUCUUUUAAGCCAAAAAACAUGAUAUGCUUUCCAUUUGUUUUAGUCUUUUGAAAAAUGGCCAUUAAACUUAUCUGGAGGAUUUUUUAUCUUUUUAUAAAUUUUUUGGGUAGUGAUUCCUUCUAUUAUAGCUUCUGGUUGCUUUGUAUAUGUAUGAAAACUAUUGCUUUUCCAUAUUAUGUUUUUUACCAUACUGGAUUUUUUCAUUGUUUAUAGUAGUUGUCUAGCUGAUUAUCUUGAGUUCUCCAGCUAAGCAAUAAUUUUAUCUGCACAUACCUUCAGAACAAUAUUAAACCAUGAUGAUGUGUAUGGCUAGGUUGACUUCUUAUGUGUGUAUUUUCCAACAAAGUCUCUCUGGCAAAAGGCAAUAUGAGCUAUUAAAUAUGAACACAGACAAAACAACCAAAUCUACAGUCAACCAUAAAAACCAAACCAAACAAUCAACCAACAAAAACUCUUCUCAUGUGUAAUCUUGUGAAUCAGACUUAUCUCAAUUUAGUGAAAACAGAACAACAAAAUAUCCAAAUGAGAUAGUUGGAUACUGAGGUUAAGGUCUGUAUCGUUAUCAUGAAUAACCUUCAAUUUCAAAUUUUUUGUGUGCCUUAAAACUCAUUGUUCUCGUUUUAUUAAUCUUACAUUAAACACAUGUAACAAAUUUGAGCUGAUAAAAUAGUUUAAUAGAAUAUUUAAUUAUCUUUUUAUGUUGUAGAUCCACAUAAGAUUUAAUAAGAAAACCGAGUUUAGUUGACAAGAAAAGUGAAAAACUCUGGAUUUAGUUUUCUUGCCUCUCUCACUUUGCUGGCAUGGAGCCUGUCAUUGUAGACCCAGAGUCAGUAGGUCAAUGGCCUGAUACAAUAGUCCUUGUCUUUUAUGCUAGAAAUAUCUGUAGAGAGGGAAUCUUAGACUCCUAUAAGUGAAAUUCUUAACAAUACUAAUUGUUUGCUUACCUGCAACGUAGGGAUUGUGAAGAUAAAGCAGGGUGGGAACCUGACCUACCCGGGCAUAUCUUUCAUCUGAAUAUGAAGGAAAUGAUUCAUUGAUACUCAACCUGAAAGACCUUGCCUGGAAAACACAGCUCAUAUUGCAUAACCAAGCAUUUGAAAACAAAGUGUCCGAGAAAACAGUUUGGAAAUCAAUUCCCAUCACUUUCUCUUAGUUCAGCUAUCUUUUGUUAGCGUUCAUAGUAGUAACCGCCGCUGUGCUUUGUUUUGCAAUUUGGUGUUUUGGGGGUAACCUCCUGAGGUGGUGGUGGGGUAGUCUCAUUACUCUCAUUUAACAAGUGAGGAAAGGGAGGCUCGCAGAGGUUCAAGACUUGCCCAGGGUUGCGUAGGCAGAAAGUGACAGAGCCAGGAAUUACUAAAUCUAGGUCUGCCUAGGGAGUGAGAGGGCAUGGAUUGUAUAACUUCAUCUUUUAGAAACUCAGUUUUUUGAAUUGUAGAAUGAGCAUAAUAGUCAUUUUGCAUGCAGUAUUGCUAUAAAAAUGAAAUGAGGUAAUGUAGGUAAAACAUCCACGUCGGUAUUGAACAUACGCACGGAGCUUAAUACAUAUUUAUUUCAAUUACUCUUUAGCUCUUUAUUCUCAUUGCCAUGCUUAUAGUUCUAUAGGGUAUUUUAGUUGGUAUUUAGUUGGUAUUUUAGUUUACUGACCCCUUCCCCCACUCUUGGGCUAAGGGCCAGGAGUAUUUUGAAGGGAUUAAGAUGAACCUACAAUUUGUUGAAUCAGACCAUUAAGUAGAGCUAGAGUGAAGUUAUAAUACAUUUGCAAGGUGACAUAUCUAAAGGCGCCAUAAGCAGGGGGCGUAGGCAAAAUCAUAAAAAUCCAUUUAUCUGCCAGCACAUUUAUGUAAGAGAUUACACUACUGGGCAGGAAUUUCCUGCCCAGUGUCUUUUUCUUUUCUUUUCCUUUUUUUUUUUUUUUUUAUGGAACUUUUCAAUAGCUUGUAAUGGGCUGUUGUGCUUCCUCUUCAGGCUUGGCUGUUAUCAGUUCCACUCAGAUAUUCCUUCCUCUUCAGUUGGGAGUAUUUUGUGACACUUAUGAAUGAGUGCAUCUAUUUCUUAAUGAUUAGAGUGUUGAUUUAUAUCAUAGGAGGCUCAUCAUUUCUGCUUCCCCGCACACAGGACUGUUGUAAGAAUGUACUCUUUUCAAGCAUACAUUAAUUAUUUGAACCUCCAGGAAAAGGGUGUCAUAAAAUCAAAAGCCACACGUGAAUGUUAUAAGAAAUAACUUCCUAGUAAAAUAAUAUGUAAUGGUAGCAGUCGAGAAAACUUUGUAAGUAGGUGAGAAAACAUGUUUGAGUGUUUCUAAUUACAUGCAUAAUGCCAAGUGGAAAGAAAAGCAUGUAGAAAGAAUGUUUGAUGAGUAACGGAAAAUCAGAGUUUAAGUCUGAGCUCCAUGACCAGUAUAUUAUGUGAGCAUGGGUAAGAUAUGUGGGGCUGCUCAGUCUCAUUUUCUUUAGCUGUAGAAAUGGGUGCUGUAUCAUGGCCCUUAGUCUCUGUUUUAUUUUAUUAGGACAAAUGUAACUCCCCAGAAAAUCUUAGUUUACUGAUGUGGCAUAAGGCUUUCCUCAUGCAGCCUUAUUUCAGUGUGGUUAGAGAUGCAAAUUAAAUCUUUGGCUAUCGCAGUGUUUGUACCAGGAAUUAGUAAAUAGCAAGUAAUAGAAAAGAAAUAAGAAGAUUUAAUAUUUUCUAACUUUCAAUGGAGAGACAUGGUUUUAUGUUUUAUUUCAAAAACGGAUUCAGCAGUAGGUGAUUCAAUGAAUUAAUUAGCCACCUAAACAUAAACCAACUUCAAUCUUCUUUUCUUUUUAUCAAUUUUACAUCAACAAGCUGCCAGCAAAGAGAAGAAAAUUAAGAUUUUGUCAAAAUGAUCUCUAUACCAGUUGCAUACAAUUGAUGUCAAUUGUAUCAUAUCAGAUAUUUGGAUUCAUCUAAAUUAAAAUUUCUGGUAUAUUAUACAGGCCUAAUACUAAAAAAAAUUCCUUUUAUGACUUUUUUCCUUGACUGUAAAAAUACAGUUGACUUCCAGAAAUUCAAGUGUGGGUAAAUACAGGGACUAUUGGAAAACAUCACCGUGCUAAUGGAUAAAAGAAGAAAAUGGACCAGAGGUGUACAUCUUUGGAAAGGAGAUACAAAAUUAUCACUAUGUGCAGGUGAUAUGAUUGUUUGGUAAAGCUAGAAAAUCAAUCAUAAUAAUUUUGGAAACAACAAGAGAAUUUAAUAAGAAGACAGGUUAAAAGUAAAUGCACAAAAUUCAAUAGCUUUCUUAUAUACCCAAAAUUACCAGUUAGAAAAUAGAAGAGAGGGGGCG